AUUUGUCUCACAUACUUCCCCUCAGUGCCACAUUAUCUCAUACAUACGCAUGCACAUGCUCAAGUGUUUAUAGCUGGCAGUGGCUGGGAUCCUGAAAGAAGGAUUGCCCCCUGCCAUAGUGGGAUUUGAGAGAUUCCAUAUUAAAAAGGCAUGGCAAAGGUGUGGGAUAUUAAGAAGAUUCUCUUAGCCUAAAUGAAAAGGGCUUUGGGCACGGUGUCCCACAUUUAAUGGUGGCAGUGGUUGGGAUCUUGAAAGAGAGAUUUCCCCCUGCCUGUUUGAGAAGCCGCUCUUGUGCCUUUUUGAAGUGAUCCUUGCAACAUGCCUCUUCAACUUCAGGCAGAGGAUAAUCUUGUCAUCCCAAUCACUGCCAUUAAUAGAUAUAUGGAGAUCCCUCUUCACAGAGAUUAAUCUGUGGGAUCCUCUUCACAGAGGUUUCUUCACAUUCAAAGGAAAAACUUCUGUUUAACUGUCACCCAGUGUUUUAGAGUCACAGUCCUUCUCUUGAACAAAACAGUUACAAAGUUUAUUUUAUUGUUGUCUGGCAUGGAAGCGUGUUGGUUACAUUGGAGGUUUGCUUUCUUCGUUGAAAUACAAUGUUACAGUAUUACUUUCUCUCACACAGUCUUGCAAACACAACAAUGGACACUUUUUACUUUGCAGGGGCAGAACUCUGACUAUUCUCAACUUAUUAUAUUAGUUAUUCCAGCAAAUAUCUUCUGUUAACACAUUCCUUAACCUAUCUUCACUGACAACUAACUAUCCUGUCCUAACAGAUAGCUUUCCCCAUCCUAACUGCUUUAGAAUGUUCAGCUGCUUCCCUAACUGCCAACUGCCAACAACACUUUUAAACCCUGGCACACACUCAUUUACAUAUGGCCAAUCCGGUCGCUGCUAUGUAAAUUAGCUCCUCUCUUGAUGUCAGAUUCCAAGUGCUACAAAAUGGCGGUUCACACACCAACCCUGCAAGGUAAGUUAUGUCUUAACUAUUAUAACAUGUUCUAAAUUUCCCAUAUAAUUACACAUUUCGCUAGUUUCCAUGGCCAAGGGGAUUCAAAACCCGUUUCCCAGGAUGCUAGUCCAAUACUCAAAGCACUACAUGAUUCUGGGUGUCCCAAAAUCUCUCUUCCUACAUUUGCCCAAGCAAUUGUGAUUAUGUUUGCACUAACUUGCAAUGAGGCAGAAGGAGCUGUAGUUACACCAGAAAUCUCCAUGCACAUAUGAAAGUAUUUAGGAUGUAGUUGAGGUUUAUUAGUUCCUGCCUCUUUACAUUUAAGUGGGUUUUCCCUCCAUUAAAUGUUAUCACUGUGUACUAAAGACUGAUUCAGUAUAAACUGCCUCCAGUACCUUUUUACAAGAGAGAAGAUGAGGCUAGACAAGACUGUUCAUUUUGCUAAAUUGUACUAAAUAUGAGAAAACAAGAAAUGAAAGUGAAUCUAUAGGGGAUGUGUAAGGUCUAGAAUCAUUAUUUCAUAAUGUGAAACUUUAUAAGCAGUGUUGUCCCGUUUGGCAAGUGGAUAAGCACACAACCUUAUAAUCAUGCUUUGAAUAUCCAUAUACAAUAUCCAGGUCAAUAUACCCUGAGGCCUCAAAUAUUUCAUAAUGUGGAUACUUUCAUAACAGCUGCCUCUUAUGCUUGGAAAAUAGAAUGUAAGCACCUACAACCAUACAGCCAUGUUCUGACAUUCUGCACACAAUGCUCCACUCCAUACCCAUGUCUUCAGCUAAUGUAAACACAUACACCCAUUUGCUUGAUUAAGUACACAGAAUAAAGAUAAUUUAUUUUUUUCUUCCAGGUGAACUUCUGAAACUUUUCCAACUUUCCAAUCACAAUGUAAAUAGGUUUUUUUUGAGCUUUGAAAGAUAUUGCUGCAUAUUUUCAUUUAAAGAGAUCGGUUUUCUGAGCUAUUGAAAUGGCCAUAACUUCCUAUAAAUUUAAAUGCUUUUCUCUUUUAAAAGAUAAAAUGACCAAUAGCUAAAGUAGCUGAGACUUUUAAUUAAUACAUUUGUUGUGUAUAGCUUUUAAUUUUUGUAGCAUUUAGUAGCUAAGGCUCCAUAUCUUUCACUUUGAUAGAACAGAUUUAAAUAAUCCUCUAUUGUUCCAACUAUCUUCAAAACAUCCCAGAUUCUUCUUCUUCUUCUUCUUCUUCUUCUUCUUCUUCUUCUUCUUCUUCUUCUUCCUCUUCCUCUUCUUCCUCUUCUUCUCACCUUCCCCCUUCAUUGUCAUCUUACUUCAACUACUAUAAAAUAAAUUCAAUGUGCAAAAGAAGGACAGCAUUUCACCCUUCCCAGUAGACUCAGGCAGAAGGAAUCUGCUGCAACCUCUGUUAGCUUUUCUUUUUCCUUAACAACUUUGACCACACACCAGUGUUGCUUAGCCACAUUUGUCCCAAUUUUCAUGUAUGAAAUAUUAAUGAAUACCCACCCUUGAGGGAGAAAACAGCUAUAGUACAUAGCUAUGUAUAAAUCGACUUUGUGUAUAAAUUGAGGGCAAGUUUGAGAGGCAAAAUUAUGGAAUUUGAUAUGAAACAUGCAGAAAGGGGAAAGCUGUAGCACUUUCACAGGCAAAUAGGGGGGCUAGAUCUCUGACCACUGCAACCACUGUUUUCUUUCCCAGGCAUUUAGUAAGGACUUUUGCCAUUCAAAGAAGGGCAUAGUUCUUUAAAAGAAAAAAGAGUUGAGGUGCAGUACUUAUAUUGGCCUAUGGAUAAGUUGACCCAGUUUUUGUGGUCAAUUAGCUAUGCCUCUAUGCACCAAAAGAGGAACUGACUGGUCAUAAGUUUAGAUGUCUACUUGUGAACAUUACAGUUAUGCAGUUAUGAGGAUGAGGGGAGGGAUGGAAGAAUUGCAAUUUAUAUUUUGUUGGAUUAUAUGAUUUAUUUCAAUGUGAUGUAAUGCUUUGAAAUUUUUCAGUAAAAGGAAGUUAGUUAAAAAAACCUAUACUAACACAUAUUCCUGCUAUAGUAAAAACUUAUAUAAAUUUAUGGCCCACCCAGACAGGCCCCUAUCCCGGGACCUGUCUCUUUUUUACUGGAGCCAUCCAACCGCCACCUCCAAUAAAACUGAAUUAAUUCAGAACAAACCAAGGAUUCCCUGGUUUGCUCUGAAUUAGAUACCCCAUUAAACUUGGGCCUUCCUGAAAGGCCCAGGUUUAAUGGGGUAUUAGGCCUGUGGGGACUCACUACAAGGUAGUUCUGGGACCAUCUGGGGUUAAGUCCCCAUUGCGCUGGGGGGGGGGAGGUAACUUAAGGUGGCCAAGUAUGUUUUACUUUACUUUAAAGGGUAAAUUGGGGGGUUUUGGGGGGACUGCAUGCCCCCCCCCCGAAAGCUUGGGUUUUUUGGGUGGCGUGGGGAUUAAACUCGACACCAAAGCAGAUUUUUAAACCUGUUUUGGCACAGAUUUUAGUCCUGUCUGGAAGUGCCCUUAGCCUUGAGAUAGUUCUUUAGCUGCUGCUUUCCAUGAACUCUUCUCUCACCAAUUCUCCAAACUCAAGCCAACUUCCCCUUCCCUGCUGUUACAUAUUUUGACCCUUUAGUGACUUCUUAGCCAGAUAUAUUUGUGUCAUGGAGCUUAUGGUAAAACAAAAAAGAUAAAGGUUUUCCCUGACAUUAAGUCCAGUCAUGUCUGACUCUGGAGGUUGGUGCUUGUCUCCAUUUCUAAGCCAAAGUGCCGACGUUGUCAGUAGACACCUCCAAGGUCAUGUGGCCAGCAUGAUUGCAUGGAGCGCCGUUACUUUCCUGCCAGAGCAGUACCUAUUGAUCUACUCACAUUUGCAUGUUUUCGAACUGCCAGGUUGACAGAAGCUGGGUCUAACAGCCAGUGCUCACUCCGCUCCCCAGAUUUGAACCUGCAACCUUUCAGUCUGCAAGUUCAGCAGCCUCAGUGCUUUAACAUGCUGAGCCACCGGGGGCACAGUUCUAUAUACAUAAUGAUUUGGAUCAGACUAAUGUGGAGAAAAAAAAUAGAAUACUUGGAGAAAGACUCUGAAGUCAGGUCCCCAAAAGGUUUGAAGAUCUGGCAGUUACAAGCAGAGGUGUUUUGGUUUCCCACAUUUCCCCUACUUUGGCCAGGUGGAACAGACACUCAUGGCACACAGAAAAAGAAAAGAGAACCAGGAUCCACAAGUUGGAGAGAUUAGAGUCAGAAUAUGCAUUGAACUUGGAAAGACAAGAAAUCCUCAAAACAGAAGAGAAGGAAUUAGACAGAGAAAACAGAAGCCUGAAGUGGAAGGUGAAAGAUCUUCAGGAUCUUCUUGACAGGAAAAGUGAACUGUCCACAGCACAUUUAUGUGGAGAUCUCAAGACACCACAUAGUUAAAAGAUAACAAAAAUAUGUAUGAUACCUAAGUAUGAUAUGUGUGAUACCUAGCAGUUUAAUGAUGGUUCAAUGAAACAAACAAAAAAUUAGAAAAGAAAAAACCAGCUUUGAUUUUGUACUAUAUACUUAUCCCAGGAAUUAUAUCCUUGCCUUUAAUAUUUACAUGUUUAAAACCCCAUGUUUAAUAUAUAGAUAUUGGGACAGGACCUUUCUAAGUUUAGUGCCUUUUACGCACAAUAAAUCACGAUAAAUAAAACUGUGAAGGCAGUUUCACUGGGCAAUAACAUGUUUUUUUUCCUGUAAAAAGCAUUCCAUGGUUGCAAUUUCUAUAUUAAAUGUUUUCUUCUUUAUGUUACAAUCAACCCUCCAGAAUUUCAGUUUUGACUUUUGCAGAUUUGAUUAUUCACAAAUUCAAAAUGUUCUCUCUAUGAAUCUCCAUGUCCUCCAAUGUGACUCUAUGAUCAAUGUCCUCCAGUUAUGCUGGAGUCUGUAGAGAUUUCUAGUAAGAACAACUGUCUAGGAAUCUCUAGGUCCUCAAGUGCAAGUCUGUGGUCCUUUUCCAGCAGAAGUUGAUCAUACAAUCAUGCUGAAAUAUCUAGAAUUUCCUAAAAGGAUGUUCUCUAAGCUUAAAAAAAAGGCCUUGUCUUUAUUUGUGGUUUUCCAUUUUCACGGGGUCCUGUAUUCCAUCCCCAAUGAAUGUGGAGGGCUGACAGUACUCUUUUACAUCAGAACAUUACAAGAUUUUUUUAAAAAAAAAUUCAGUAAACACCUAAUCUUUGUUAACAGUUGACUAUUCUUACCUUGUUCUGUCAAGACUGUUUUUCAAUGCUGUUCAGAAUUUCAUAGAUGGAAUCCUCACUGAGGCAAACAUUUCAUUGUUAGUCCCAAAUAGUGCAUACUCAAUUAAUCAAUGAAAAUUAUAUAAGAGUUGAUCAUUCAACCCAUUGAUUAAGUAAUACACUUAAGCUUAAAGGAACAUUUGCAUUUAGGUCUGGACAAUUGUGUAUGUGUUCUAUUAUUGAUGGAUGGUGUUAUAGAAAGUCACUCCAGAUUAGCCAAAUAAAAACUGCCAAUUAAUUGGAUGCAGAUUUCUCUACCAAUUCACUCUCAUUUGUUCCCCAGAUAAGGAAAGCAUUUACCAAAUUAUGUUACUAGAUCACAUCAUCAGUAGUAGUUCUGACUGCAGAUAUUUGAGAACACCCAUAGCCUGGAAAGAGUUAUACAUGAAGCUGAACAUAUUGAGAACCUCACUAUCUCUUCCAUUUCCCCAUGUACUUUUCUCCCAAAGAGAACCUUUUAUCUCACAAUUUGACAGUUUUGAUAGAUGAGCUUGGGUAGGGAAAAAGGUAAUAUUUUUACUGAGAGAUGUUCACAAUAUAGUUUCUUAUAAUUUGCCCUUGCAGCAAGAAAAUAUCAAGUGAGUUUGUAAAAACCCAUCAGUCUGGCUGAACAUUUAAAAUUAUUUCAUCUUGCCGUAUUGCUUUGUAUUAGCAAUAAUCUUCUGAGUUGUUUGGAAAUCUGAAUGAGUGUUGUUUUUAGAGCUCUGGAUGGCAGUCUUGUAAAUAUUUUUAUAUUGCAUAUAGUCUGCUUCUGUUUUUGUACCUUUAUUAAGUCUGUUCUGCAAUGACUUUUCAUCACAAGCAAUAAACUGUGUAAUAAAUAUGAUAUUCAUGAGG